GGAGAGGUGGCUGAGCGGUUUAAAGCGUCCCCCUGCUAAGGAGAUAAACUAUAACAGUUUCGUGGGUUCAAAUCCCAUCCUCUCCU
rnacentral:tRNA from 1 species